CCUUGAUUCUUCUAUCCUAACACCUUUGACUUUUAACAUUCUUGAAGACCAAGCAGCAGAAAGUCUGGGGACAAGAGAACAUGCCCAUUUGCAAGCUCAAAGAUGCAGAUUUGCUUUGGGAAUGUCAAUAGAACAAUAUUCUUCCCAACAACAAUUAUUAGGAGAUGGAACCCAGAUCCUGUUUACCCUGGACUGACCUAAUAUCCUGAACUAAUAUCAAUAAUUAGAAGACAGGAUCUAGAGGGUAACAGCAAUUGACACCUUUUGUGAUCCAGGAAGGAUGAUGAUAUUUUGGAUGAUGACUCUAUGGAGAUCAAAUGAUGGAACAACUAUAAGAAGGGAGCCCACCAGACAGAGUCAGCAAGCUUUGCCUAACCAGCAGAUCUUCGCUCAUGUGCACAUCCCAAGUGCCUGCUGUCUAGCUGCGGAACUAACAGAGGCCUGAAACCUGCAGACAAGAGUCUGCUCAGUGAUUCUUGCCGUGGGGCGAAGAAUCAAGGGCUGACUCUGUCUGUGAAAUCCAGUCCCAGCUUUUUCCAUCUGAAGCCUCAUCGUUCCCAAGCCUCGUAUCCAAGCUGUCUACACUUGCUGCCCCAUGUCAGACCCUGAUGCUCAUCACAGCUUGCCUGGAUGUGAAAAGAGCUGGACGCAAAAGAACUGCCAGGAAGCCCACGAGUUUCAGAUAUAUUUUAUUAAAGCAAAUUAAAUAAGAAAAAACUGUCA